AGUGACGCUUACGGAAGCGCUCUGCGGACCUCGCGGGGUGCGGGGCAGCGCAGCCACGGCUCCGGACGGCGGGACGGCAGGGCCCGGCGUGGCCGCGGAUGAGUCGGGGAACCAUGCCCCAGCCCGGAGCGUGGCCCGGUGCAAGCUGCGCCGAGACGCCGGCGCGCGAGGCCGGGGCCGCGGCGCGGGACGGCGGGAAGGUGACGGCCGGCGCGCAGCCCCGGGCCGCGACGCGAUGCCCGGCCGAGCAAACCCAGGUUAAGUGUGGCUCCUGAAAUGGAUAUCAUGGACUACUGCAAAAAAGAAUGGAGAGGAAAUACUCAGAAAGCCACAUGUAUGAAAAAGGGCUAUGAGGAAGUGUCUCAGAAAUUCACUUCCAUAAGGCGAGUCCGUGGUGAUAACUACUGUGCACUGAGGGCCACACUGUUCCAGGCCAUGAGCCAGCUGGCCGAGCUGCCCCCCUGGCUGCAGGACUUGGAGCUCAUACUGAACCAGCCCGUUUGACUGCAGGCAGAUCGUCUGACCCUAGCCCCAACCUGGACAUAGCUGGCCAAAGCUGGAUCAGCCCCUCACUUGUGAAAAGGGAAUCUGCGCCUUGCCUGUCCUUGCCUGUGUUAGUUCUGCAGGCUGGACUCCUGUAGAUUUGAACCAACAGCAUUUAACCUUGCAGCCUUCUCUGUGGCUAUGCUUUGAGAUUGUGACUUCCAUAUUCAGAUUCUCCAUCCUCAACCCAUAUGAUCCUCUCGCAGGAAUUAAUUUUUGAAAUAAGUUACCAGAGAAGCUGAUAAACAAGUAUACCUGGAUCAAGCAGUGGAAACUUGGACUGAAAUUUGAUGGGAAGAGUGAGGACCUGGUUGAAAAAAUUAAGGAAUCCCUUGCCCUGCUAAGGAAGAAGUGGGUAAGCCUGGCUGCAAUGAAAACUGCUGAAGCGAGGCAGACAGCUUGUGAUGAGCUGUUCACCAACGAAGAGGAGGAGUACAGCCUCUACGAAGCUGUGAAGUUCCUGAUGUUAAACAGAGCCAUCGAACUGUACGAUGACAAGGAGAAGGGAAAGGAAGUGCCGUUCUUCUCUGUGCUCUUGUUUGCCCGAGACACAUCCAAUGACCCUGAACAGCUCCUGAGGAACCACCUAAACCAGGUGGGACACACGGGGGGCCUUGAGCAGGUUGAGAUGUUCCUUCUUGCCUAUGCUGUCCGCCACAGCAUCCGGGUGUACCGGCUGUCCAAGUAUAACACAGAGGAGUUCAUCACAGUCUACCCCACUGAUCCCCCCAAGGACUGGCCAAUGGUGACCCUCAUAGCUGAGGAUGAUCGGCACUAUAACAUCCCUGUCAGAGUGUGUGAGGAGACCAGUGUGUGAGGGACACACAUGUGACUGCCAAGAGAUGCGCAUGUGCAGCUCCUCCUCUGGGGGCCUCAGAUCUGCAGGUCUCCAAGGACAAUCUGGGAGAACUCUCGGGCCCCUGGAGCCAACUUUGGACCAUUAUGUUCUGAAGACUAGCUGUUGAUAAUGAGAAUUAAUUAGCCAAGCCUUCACUCCUUGUUCUGUUAUGCAGUGUGUUCCACUGGGGGCUUCAGCACGUGCCUUUGGAAGGUGCAAACUAUGUCUCCAUAAGGCGGAUGCUUUUGGGUCAAAGAAAACUGUUUGGAAAGGAAUCUGUCCAAUGAAAGUUCUGACGGUAAACUGGUUUUACUUCUCUUUUUAAAA